rnacentral:rRNA from 1 species
GAUGCCUACGGGGCGCAGCAGCGGGGGAUAUUGCACAAUGGGGGAAACCCUGAUGCAGCGACGCCGCGUGUGGGAAGACGGUCCUCUGGACUGUAAACCACUGUCCCCAGGGACGAAAAUGACGGUACCUGGGGAGGAAGCUCCGGCUAACUACGUGCCGGCAGCCGCGGUAAUACGUAGGGAGCGAGCGUUGUCCGGAAUUACUGGGUGUAAAGGGAGCGUAGGCGGGGAUGCAAGUUGGGUGUCAAAACUACCGGCUCAACUGGUAGUCGCACUCAAAACUGCAGCUCUUGAGUGAAGUAGAG